CUUGGUCAUUUAGAGGAAGUAAAAGUCGUAACAAGGUUUCCGUAGGUGAACCUGCGGAAGGUUCAUUCACAAACGAGUGUUUUAUGGCACUCUUUAAAAAUCCAUAUCCACCUUGUGUGCAAUGUUUGUUGGGAAAGUCUUUUCUUUCCCUUCAUAAAUAUCAACCUAUAUCUUUAACAACAUUCGUCUGAUAACAUAUUAUGAAUAUACUUAAUUCAAAAUAUAACUUUCAACAACGGAUCUCUUGGCUCUCGCAUCGAUGAAGAACGCAGCGAAAUGCGAUACGUAAUGUGAAUUGCAGAAUUCAGUGAAUCAUCGAAUCUUUGAACGCAUAUUGCGCUCUUUGGUAUUCCGAAGAGCAUGCUUGUUUGAGUAUCAGUAAACACCUCAACCUCUCUUUUUGACAAAAAAAGGGAGGGUGGACUUGAGCUAUCCCAACGACCUUCACCGGUAGGCGGGCGGCUUGAAAUGCAGGUGCAGCUGGACUUUUAUCUGAGCUAAAAGCAUAUCUAUUUAGUCCUCGUCAAACAGGAUUAUUACUUUUGCUGCAGCUAACAUAAAGGAUAAUUGUCCUCUUUGCUGACUGAUGCAGGAUUUUACGACACUUUAUGUGUUGUUCAACUCGAUCUCAAAUCAAGUAAGACUACCCGCUGAACUUAAGCAUAUCAAUAAGCGGAGGA
rnacentral:rRNA from 1 species